AUAUAUUUAAUUUACAAAUACAAAAUAAUUCUUUAUUCAUAUUUGUUUUCGUACGAACCAAAUAAGUAUAGUUGAAAACUAAUUUUUCGUUCUAUAAAUCAACAUUAAAGAGCAUAAAAAAAAACUUCCUUGAAAAUUUUUUUUUCCAUAUAAAAUUAUUUUCAGAAUUUUACGUAAAACCAAAUAGCCAUUUAAAUAAAAUCACG
rnacentral:lncRNA from 1 species